ACCUGACUGCUAUCGGAUUGGUACUAAGCCAUGCGAGUCGUUGUAGCAAUACAAGGCAGACGGCUCAGUAACACGUAGUCAAUCUAACUUAUGGACGGGGAUAACCUCGGGAAACUGAGAAUAAUACCCGAUAGAUCAUAAUUCCUGGAAUGGUUUAUGGUCCAAAUGAUUUAUCGCCAUAGGAUGGGACUGCGGCCUAUCAGCUUGUUGGUGAGGUAAUGGCCCACCAAGGCUAUAACAGGUACGGGCUCUGAGAGGAGAAGCCCGGAGAUGGGUACUGAGACACGGACCCAGGCCCUAUGGGGCGCAGCAGGCGAGAAACCUUAGCAAUGUGCGAAAGCACGACUAGGUUAAUCCGAGUGAUUUCUGCUGAAGAAAUCUUUUAUCAGUUCUAAAUCUACUGGUGAAUAAGGGGUGGGCAAGUCUGGUGUCAGCCGCCGCGGUAAUACCAGCACCUCGAGUGGUUAGGAGGUUUAUUGGGCCUAAAGCAUCCGUAGCCGGCUAUGCAAGUCUCCGGUUAAAUCCAUCUGCUUAACUGAUGGGCUGCCGGAGAUACUACAUAGCUAGGGAGCGGGAGAGGUAGACGGUAUUCGGUGGGUAGGGGUAAAAUCCUUUGAUCCAUUGAGGACCACCAGUGGCGAAGGCGGUCUACCAGAACGCGUUCGACGGUGAGGGAUGAAAGCUGGGGGAGCAAACCGGAUUAGAUACCCGGGUAGUCCCAGCUGUAAACGAUGCAAACUCGGUGAUGCAUUGGCCUAUGGCCAGUGCAGUGCCGCAGGGAAGCCGUUAAGUUUGCCGCCUGGGAAGUACGGUCGCAAGACUGAACUUAAAGGAAUUGGCGGGGGAGCACCACAAGGGUGAAGCCUGCGGUUCAAUUGGAUUCAACGCCGGGAA
rnacentral:rRNA from 1 species